rnacentral:sRNA from 1 species
AUUUUGCGUGAGGGAUUGCGGAGGAAAUCCCACGCUAUUUAGCGUGGAUUGUAACGUAAAGCCCGACAGCAU